CUGUGAUAAAAUAUAAAGAUCCUUUGUUGAUAAAAAAUUUCAUAAGGCCAGGUCACCCAAAUAAUUCUACUGCUCUACAAUGUCCAAAUUAAUACCUGAAAGCCUGGUCAAGGAAAAAAUAUCAAUUACUCAUUCAGAAAAAGUUAGGGAUUUACCUAUUUUGAUAACAUUAAGCAAACAGCUGAUAAACUCUUCCAUCCAGAGCACACAAUAAAAUCCUGCAUGCUGGGCAUGUUUUUUUGUAUAUAUUGUAUUUCAGUAGUUUUGUCAUAUGUCAU
rnacentral:lncRNA from 1 species